CCCGUGAUAGCUCAGUUGGUAGAGCGGAGGACUGUAGAAAAAUAGACAUAUAGCUAUCCUUAGGUCACCGGUUCAAAUCCGGUUCGCGGGA